AUGUAUACUUGGUAGUAUUCGCGCGCGUUUCUUGAUUGAACACAUGAAAAUGUAUAAACGCACAAAUGUUUAUAAAUUUAUGGGAAUGGUUUCUGAAGUUCGAAGGCACAAAGCCAUUGUGAGUUUUGGACUUAAUGGGUGCCAUGAGCAUGCCAUUUUAAAAGCGGAUAAAUUAUUUUUGUUCGGUAAUCGUCAAUCGGAAAACCUUACUGAGAUAUUGUCGGUAGGAAUGGUAAUAACAUUUUCGGCUCACACCCUUUCGCAAGUGAGUGAAGAGAACUGCGCGUGGUACAUCUAUUUUGCAACAACAGACUGCGUGAGUAAGUUCGACGGUAGAAUUGGUUGCAUUCAGAAAAAUGCUGAAUUCAUUCUGCCACUACGUUUUCACGUUGGCCGAGUUGAUCAUUUGAAUGAUCGUAAUGGGGCAAUAGAAUGCUACGACAAUUCAGGUGCCACUUCAUUGGUGUUCUUUUGUGCAUCAAAGUUUUAUAUUCAUGGAAGUAAUUUCGAUGCAAAUGGGAAACUUAACCAAGUUCUGGAUGGUAAUGAUCUACUGCAUUUUGAUGCAAUUCCAUGCAUACCGCUCAACAACAUCACAUGUUCAGAGUGGAAUGCUACUCUUGUGUGGAUUGGCAGACGGCCAAGAGUGAAAGAAAUAAACUGUCCCACUGAAGUUAAUUUUAGAGAGUUCAUCCAGGGAUAUAAAUUCAGAUGGUUUAUCCGUCAGCAGGUGACAAACUGAAAACUGGUUCUGAAGAAAGGAAAGAAAAAAAGGUUGGCCUAUAUUCUGCUGUGCAAUGCCAACGCCUUAUAUGUUAAAGCUGAAGGUCGAGUCAUGUUCCUGAUUAACCAUGAAUUUGGUGUAGCUUUACUCAUGAUAAGGCCAAAUGUCUUGCAAACGGCAUUGUUUCACAGGAAUGACACUUUUUCUUGUGGACGUAACAUGAGAGAUUGUGAUUUGAGGAAAGUCCUGAAAGAAGGUGAUGCUCUUCGUUUUAUUGGUGUACAAGCACCAAAGGGGGUGUUGACGAGGUUUGUGGCUUAUAAAAUUCAUAUCUGCAAAUUUUAAAAAACUUAAGAAUUUUAUGUCAAGUUUAUUUUAUUUUUUUAAACAUAGUACAAAUAUAUUAAUAUGCUAGUCUUAGAUUUUUCAUUCAAUAAGCUUGGCACUAUUGUACAAGUUUCGAAGUACUGUCAAGAACUUACUGUUAAUGGAGCCUUGUACAGCUGGCAAGCUGAAAUACCUCAAAUGUAUUAGUUACAAUAUUUUACAAGAAGUGUUUUAUGAGCUGUUUGAACUUAAGUAUUUUUUUAAUAACGAAGACAUGACUGAAUGAUUUGUCUCAUUGUUAUGCAAUUUUAUAUUUAAAAGAAUUGUUAAAUUUUGUACUUACAUAUAUGAUGUUAAUUGAUUACUUACUAUGUCAUAGAAAGUUUAUGUAAUUGUUAAUUGUAGGAGUAUUUAACUCAGGUUACUUUGAUUUGAAGGGCCUAUGUUAUAACUAUACUCCAUCUGAAAGUAUUUUGUCUUUGAUAUAGAGAAAUGUUAACUAAAACUAUGCAUAAGUGUGAGAUGUAUUCUUUGCUUCAGGAUGUGAAUUUCUAACUUCUAAUUUCAUGUAAACCUUAUUCAUGUCAUUGUAAAGAAUUAUAGGGUAAAGUGACCGAAUAUUGGAUAGGUUGCUAAUAUCGGAUACCAGGAUAUUUGACACACGGAUGCUGCACGCUAUUUGUGGUGUUAUUAAACAGUUGCCUUUAAGUACUCUUUGUACUCUUAAGUACUCGCGAGAAUGCGCGGCCGUUGUCACCAGCGUGCCAGACGCCAUUAUCGUUUGUGUGUUUUAUGAAGUUUCGAAAUUUUCAAGGAGAGUUUUGAACUGCAGAUUGCGGGUAGAAGGUGGGUAGUUACAAACCACAUCUAUACAUUAGAUCAAACUACAAGUGUUGUAGUUUCAUGUAUAAGUGUUGUUUAUGCAUACACAAGUUUGGUUUUGACACAGAAAAAUGUAACAACCGAAGUUGUAUGAUGCCUAAUAUCGGAUACUGAGGGAUGCUGAAUAUCGGAUAUCCGAUAAUAGGGCUUCAAUUCUAAUUUUACCGCAAAAAUUUGCUCCACGAAAAACAACUUUGAAUUAUCGAAAUAAAUUUAUUAAAACAGUAAUUAUAAAUUGGGAAUGUUAAAUAAAAAUAUGUGUUGUAUUAUUUAAAUAAUUUUGACGACCUAAUUUGUACAUAAUUUUCGUGUGGCAUUAAACUUUAAUGUUUUUAGAGAUUUGAACCAAAAAAAUAGUCAAGCCUACUGUUGAUAACCCUGUCUGUUUGAUUCUUGAUGGACAUUACUCCCAUACAAGAAAUUUAAAUGUGAUAGAACUAGCACGGCAGAUUGGGGUGAAAAUAAUUUUCCUUCCACCACAUUCGACACACAAGCUACAACCUUAAGAUGUAGCUUUCAUGGCUCCAUUUAAAAGUUUUAUUCUGCUUAAAUUGAACAUUGGCUGGAUGCCUAUCCUUUCAGAGCUGUUUCUGUUUACCAAGUUGGAAGUUUAAUGGGACGCGCCUGCAUGAGAGAAGCUACCAUGGAAUCAGCUGUAAAUGGGUUCAGAAAGUGUGGUAUAUCGCCAUUUGAUCCACUAGUCUUUGGAGAACAAGAUUUCCUCCCUGAAGAAAAGUAGAAUCACAAAACAGGUCAACGUUUGGAACAUGAAAAUGAUGUAACCAUGGCUGGAAAUUACUCUACCUAUCCAAUUUGAUGAAGGAUCUGAAGACAGGACAAAGGACCGAGAAGGAACAAGCUAUGAUACAUCCAUGGAUGAAAUCACAGACAUCCCAAAAACUUGUGAGGCUCAGAAGAAGAGAAACGCUGCAGUUACAAUCAGCCCGUUCCAUUUACGUCCAUGUCCUAGGCUACCAGGGCCUUCUAAAAAGAGUCGUAGGUCUGGACAAACAGCCGUCAUCACUUCAUCUCCAUACAAGGCACAGCUUACAGUCUCUCUACAAAAUGCAGAGUUAAGGAGACGUAAGCAGAAUCUUCCAACGAGUUCCAAGAAAGAAAUUGUAAAAAAAAAAAUCUUAAAGGGAGCAACAACGUCCAUUUUUAGGAAGACAGCCUUGCCGAAAUCAUGUGGAAAGAAAGGAACUUUAAAUGCAAAUUUCACAGAUUCGGAAGAUUCAGAAUUGGAGGACGAACCACCUCUUGUUUCAACGGAUGACAGCGACAGUGCAGAUGAAGAGUGCCUCUACUGUGGUGUGCCAUAUCACGAAGAUCAUUCUGGAUUCGGUGCAUUCGCUGUCUAGGAUUGGUACAUGAAACAUUUGCUGUAAUUGGUAAAUACAGCUGGAAAACAUUUGUUUGUGAAAACUGUGGUUCGUGAUUUAGUUAAUUUGUUUGGCUCAGACAGACGUUUAAUAUGUUCCACAGAACUCAGGUUCCUUGCAAUCAAUGCUUGAUAUAUUUUUAGUUCUUUUUCUUUAAGUCUAACAGUUAUGUAUUGUACUUGAUCAACUGCCGGGAAGAAUUAUGCCUUAUUUCAUAAUUUAAUUUUGAAAACACCUACUAUCCGAUAUUAGGAACACCUAGUAUCCGAUAUUAGGCUACUUUUUUCCAGAACUGAUAAAUGUUAUUGUUUUCCUUUUUAUUAUUCUAAUAUUUCCGUGAACUAUUUGCGUACUUGAAAUACAUGUCAGUGUAAACUAUGUUUAACAAAGCAAAUAAUGGAGUAAAUUGUAAUUCUUAAUAUAAUUUCUUUCAUUAAGAAAAUUUAAAUUUUAAAAAAGUAUCCAAUAUUCUGUCACUUUACCCUAAAUGCCCGUCAGUACAUUGUAGAUUUCUGUGUAGCUGACACAAGUUUUAAGUUAACUAAUUGAUACUCUUUUAAAUGUUGUUCAAAUAACUAAGGAAUGUAACUAAAAAAAUUUUAUUUUGUUGUGGAACGCAUCAUUUUUAGCACAUGCAAAUUACAUAAAAUGUGUAAAUAUUUUUGAUGUUGAAGACUAUGCAUAGUCGACUAAUUGAAACAGAAAUUUGUCAUGAAAAUAGGUUUUAAACCGUUGUUUAUUUGUUAAUUUAGUUUUAAUUAUUUUUGCAUUAUUUGGUCUACUAGUGUGUCUAAUUAUAGAAUGCAUAAUAAAACUACCAGCUUGGCUGAACUGGAAUCAAAUAAUGCUUUGUCCUAUAAGCAGUCUGCAUGUCUAUAGGAUGUUUGACUCGUGAAUUUAUUCCAUGGUUAUUUUAAACGAGGAAGAAAAAUGUCCAAAAUAUUUUAACAAUGUACAAAAAUUCUUUUAUGUACUGUGCUGAUGAUAAACUAUUUAAAGUGAUGUGGUAGCCUACUUUGGAAUUAUAUAUAUAAAGUUAUUAUUUGGAGUUUGUUUGUAUUUUAAGGAAUGUUUUAGCAAUAAAAUCUUUAAAAUGAGUAUAACGCAACAGAACAUUGACAAAAAUGUUUAAGGAAGCUGGAAUAAUUAAAAAUAGUGUGAAAUGUCAUGUGAUGUGGGCUAGUACAUAUAAAAUAAAUACCAUCUCCAAUUUUCCCAGUGAGUAAAUAAUGGCAGCUUGUUCAUAUUGAACCAAUAUGUACAUAGUAUUUGGCUUUUCAGAAUUGAUUCUUUAAGAUCAACUGAAAAUUUUAUAAUUUCUGUUUUGUAGCAUUUCAAGUUAAGUUGGUUCUCUUUUUUUUGGUGUAGCAUGUAAAAAAACCUCAAAAAAUUUUUUCUCUUAUUCUUCAGUUCCCAAAACUUUGGAUCUGAUGGGAAAUUUUAUCAACUCAGCACUUAUUGAUGAAGCUAUUAUCUCCAAUAUAUCUAAUUUGAAUUUUUAUAGUUUUGUGGGAUUCUCACACAAAACUCAAAAAGCCAAUGUUUUCUAAGCUUUGUUGGGGCUGGUACAUACAAAUUUUUUUGUUAGCUGACUCACAAAAACUUUUUAAGUAUCCAUCUUUAGCAUGGUGUUGGUCACCAUAAUAUAUAACAUUAGUAUCAGUCUUACUUAAUCCAGGAACAAAAUAGUGUUUGCAACUUCCCACCACAACCACAAAUCUAUUGUGGUGUGGGCAAAUCAAAGUACACAGGGAUUUAAAGAAUAUUAUAUAUCUACAUAUUAUUGUGUGUUUGUAUUAUGAAUUUAUAGAAUAUAUAUAUUAGUUAAAAAUAAGUAUGCAGUGUUAAACCAUUAUGAAACAAAUGUGCUGGUGGCAGUCAUGAAUGCAAUGCUAAUUUUUCUCACCAAGAAAAUUUUACUUAUGAUAAAGUUUAUUUCCACAAUUUUAGUAAAUGAACAUUUUUUUUUUAAUUUUUCAAAACUUAGUUUUCUAUUCUUAAGUAAAAUAUAAUUUUGCCUAGUAAUACAAUGUUCAGGACAUUACGUGUACUCAAUGAUCUCUAUCAACCUCCCCUCCUUUUUUUUCCAUUUAGUCAGAACAUAUUUCAAAAUAUAUUUUUUCAUUUUCACUUGUUUUUCUACUUUUACUUACCACUUACUCUGGUUAGCAACUUACCCUAGAGUAUUUGUUACUAACAAUUUUGGAAAUUAUAAGCAUAACAUGCUGCUUAAAGUGCUAGAAGAAACAAAUACUUGCUGAUACCAUGGAUCUAUUUUCUUCUACUGGCAUGUCUUGCCAUUUCCCCUAAAAUAUAAGUGUAUUAAGCUGUUGUAUUUUGUUUAGAUAGGUCACUGUCUUGUAUAAUUUUGUAAAUUUUUUAGUGCACACAACUGUAAUGAAGAUGCAAAUUACAUGCCUAUUACUUACAGAACUUAUUUCUGUCUAACCUAACUGCAUAAUGUAAGUUUUAUUUAAAAUUUUGAUAACUGCACGUCAGACAAGUGUAACUUCAUUAGUAUUUCAACAAUUUGCUUAAAGCCGAAUUUAAGUUUGUGUAUGGAAGUUUAACCUAAUGUUUACUUACACAUUGUAACUUGUUUCGGUUUAUUUCAUGAUACUGUAGAGUUAAGAUUAUUCAUAGACAUAAUACUGUUUAAAAAGUUAUAAUUUUUAAAAUUUGAUAGAAUGUUGGAACUUCAUGUUUUAUACGAUUGUUACAUAAAUUUAAUAUAAAUUAAUGAUUUGUUGUAUCACUUGAGCAAAAAUCUGUGAAGGUAAUAUUGGAAUUUAAUUUUUAUUGUGUUGGUGAUAGUGUCAAAUAUAUGCUUGUUGGUGGUUGUAGAAUUGUAUAUAGUUUGGCAAUACAUUUUAAAUUUAAUAAUUUUUAGUAACUAUAUCUUAAGGCCAUUUAUAAAUAAAGUAAGACUGAUACUUUAUGUUAUAUUACAUUAUUGGAGCAUAGCACUUGUAGUUAUGUUUUUGUGACUUUUAACUUCCAUGAUUGAAACAUUUUAGUCAUUAAGAUAAUGAAUGUUAUUUAGUUUUAAUAGUUAAUAGACUUGAGGCAAAAGUAAAUGAGAUAUGACAGGUUACAUAUUUCAUGCCUAUUAUUGAAAAUGUAUAGUCAUUAAGUUAUAAUAUUUAUUAGUAGUUUAUAGUAAAUACAAAUGUGAGUCAAUCUACUUCUUUGUAUGUUUAACUAAGGCUGAUUCUAUACAGUUCCUUUGUAUGAAAAAAGACUGUUUCAAGCAUUUGCCUUUCAAGAGUACAAAUUUCUUGUAUAAAAAACAUUGUUUGGUAGUUUGUAUUUAAGAUACUUGUAUUAUCUUAGCUCAAAUAAAAAAACGUUUUUACAUUUCCUAA